rnacentral:lncRNA from 1 species
GGCGACACUAACAAGCCCAACAAUAACCUUUUGUUUUUAGCUGUAUAAAGCAAUGUGACCGUUGGUCUCACCAGAAAAUUCAAAGGAUAUUUUGCAAGUGAAGAGUGAUUUCGAGCUGAAGCUUUGAAUCAAUUGCUUUCCUCCAAUCUGCUAAUAUCAAACUGGUCAGGCACCAGAUUUUCACGGUCAUCACAUUGGUGACAUCCUGUAACAUUUCGUGGAUUUCUGGUUCAGAUUUUUUGUUUCAACGACGACCUUGUGACUGAUGCAGUCAGUGAAUGUCACAGGAUCAAAUCCGGGAUACCAUGUUACCAAAAUAGUCAAUAGUCAAUGCCACAUAAUAAUUUUGUGAAGUUUGUUUAGUUAAAACUAAAUAAAAUUUGGCACUCCAGUUCACCAAGAACGAGUUAACUGAAAAAUGUUACAAGAGGCUAAAAGCAAAGAUGUCUUUGUCACUCUCCUCAGUGUUGUGGAAUCAGGGCUCACUCUUCUGCUGCACUUGAAAUGAGGCCAUUUCAUUUCAAUCUCGUGGACUGAAUGAGGAGCCAACCUCCUUAUGUUUAGCAAACAUUAGGGAAACUUUCUUUCUUCCUUGUUUCUCCUUUUUUAAAGGCAAAAAUAUGUAUAUGUAAAAAUUCUCAAAUUUCCUUUCCAUAGCAAGUGUCUUUGCUCUAAAGAGAGGGCCAGUGGAGGUCUUUCAUAGCCCAGAGUGCAGCAUGCCGUUUGUGAAACACUGCUCUGUACUACAUUCAUGCUCCUCUGCUUGUCCGGAGAAUUUAAUCUAAACUCUCACUAACAUUAAUAAGGUCUAAAGUAGGAAAACUGGACAGUUUCGAUGUCUUGUUCACUACUGGCCGUUUCACGUGAAUUAUUGAUAGGUAAUACACAAUUAUUGAGUCAUCUAUUAAGGCAGUUGUAUACACAAAUAAGUUUCUCCAGGAAACACUGCUUAAACCAUUCCUCAACAAAUUGUUAAAUUUUGUCAGGUGGUGUAGGACAAAACCUGGGGGCUGGGGGCAGGAUAGCCCGGUGGCACCCCUUCUGGCAUCAGAAAGGCUGCCUAAUCCCCAUGAUUGGGCUGCCCCUCUGUUUUCACUACUGAGACUGGAAAUUAAAUCCUUGAUAGCUAUGGCAUUCAUUUAUUGAAAGAACAGGUAAUGUAGUGGAUACUGUCUUGUAUCCUUCAAGAAGGGGGGAUUAUCUCCCAGCUGCUGGGAAUGUGCUGGAAGAAGGCCCUUACCAUUGACCCUCUCUGGAGAUUGCCUCGGCAGAAGAAAACCACCUCACCCAAGGUCGCCUGCUUCCAGGGACAGCCAGCAUCCAGGGACUGAUCAGUUGGGGGUAUGAAGACCCUUGCCCCAUCUUGGGACCACUCCGAGGGGCCGUCGCAGCUUCAGAGCUCCCCACAGGGCGGACUGAGGCUUUGCUGGGAAUCCAUCACAGAUCAACUGCUCCUUCCGCCCAGUCCUGCUUCCCUCCCCUUCCUCUCCAAGAGAACUCCUUCAUAAUCGCCCCUCACACCGGCUCUGCGCAGAAGCUGCUUCCAGAAAAUCAACCUGCCAUGUAGAUGCUGCUAAUGCCUGACGUUCUCACUGGCGGUUCCAGUGAUUUCGCUCAAUAUUCCUGUUAAUGACCUGGCGGAUGAAGUGAACGGCAGUGCGGAGAAACUGGCUGAUGACACAAGCGUUUAGGCAUGUGCAUAGGAUCCAGCAGACAACCAGAGCCAGAGAGGUGAUGGAACUGUGAAAUGGAAGGAGCUCUGAUCCCUGAAUGACUGCACAGACUGGCAGGCCGCCCUCCUGAUUGUGGUUCCUUCUGAGCGUGGUUACAUCACUACCUGUCAUCCCAGCAUGCGAAUACGCCUGCCACCCACUGCGGAAACUCACCAACACGAUGACCCAGAGGAGACAUGACGGGGUCCUACACCACCCGGGGGAGAAAUAAGGAGUCCUCAAGACAGUCCCCACCAAAGCUGGAUCUGCCUGGAUACAUAAUGUUUUGCCAUCAGUGACUCACCUUCAUGUCAGGGUCCCCGAGCUAAGGACAUUGCCCUGCCGCACAGCGCCUGUCCCACUCCCCCAUUCCUCACCCAACCGGCCUCUGGGGCAGUACCCUACUUCCGCCGCCCUUCACGUCCCAGCAUCACUCCAGGGUUCCUGCUGCCUGCCUCUCCUCAGGAGCCGCUGGGCCCCAAAGACGCGAGGUUCCAGAUCCCUGGAAACUGUGGGUGUUAUCUUCUAUGGAAAAAAGGACUUUAUGUGAUUAAGUUAAGGGUCUUGAGACAGGAGAUGACCCUGGCUUACCCCAGUGGGCCAUAAAUAUUCUUCUAACAGGGAGGCAGAGGGAGAUGUGACACAGACAGAAGGGGAGGAGGCAAUAUGAGCACAGAGGCAGAAACUGGAGUGGCCACCAGAAGCUGGGAAAGGUGAGCAAACAGGUUCUCUCCCGGGGCCUCUGGCGGGAGCGGCCCUGCUGCCGCCUCAGUGUUGGCCCAGUGCAACCGAUUCUGGAUUUCUGGCUUCCCAAGUGUGAAAGCAGGAAGGUGUGUUAUUUCAAGCCACCUGGUUUAUGAUAAUUUGUUACCACAGGAAACUAACAGACCCUCCCAACUCACAGUCCAUUCUAAACCAGCCAAACUUCCUACAAUCAAAUAACUUCGGGUUCCACUUUUCUGGUCGCAAGACCCCUUUCCUAAGGCCCUCCACCCACUUCUUCUUGCCCCAUUUACCACGUUCCUUUUACCCACAGGGGACUUGAAGCCCCCCUGUGAGAGGUCAUGAGCCCCCACUCGUGCCUCGGCAGCCCAGCAGCCAUGACAUCCUUGAAGUGGUGCCUCCAGUGGAGCCCUAAUGGGUGAGGGGCAAAGUCUCUCUCCCGUUAGUGCUUUCCUCUGCCCUGACUCCAGCCCUUUCCCAGGGACUCUCUUCUAUGGAGGCUGUGUGCUUCCGCAGUCACUUACCCCACCAAUAAAACAAAAAACUGUUAAAACCUGCUCCUCUAAGUUCUUACCUUCCUAGGGAAGAAUAAUUGUAUCUUCUCCUGCCUCAUUUUCCUACCUUGUCUUUCCCCAGAAGGGAAUGUUGAUUAUUUAUUCUGGAAGCCACUGGAAGAAAAGACUCCUAGUUUUUGAGUUAAGUAAGUCUCCAAGUAUCUACUGAAUGGCUCUGUGCAG